GCUGGGAUGGGUUCAAAGUAGAGAAAGUGCAAGAGGGAAGAGUUACCCGGGCUAGAGAGGACAGCGGGCCGCAGGUUUAGUCCUGGUUGUGGAGUGGGAUGCUGAGAUGGGUCUGGAGGGAUGCAGGAUGUUCUAGGCCGUUAGGAUGGUAAAUAGGGACCUCGCUCCGCGAGGGAUGCUGAACGGGGUCUGGAAGAAUGCAAGAUGUCCUGGUCCGGGCCAGGAAUGGUUACAUGGAUAGUGGGAUGUCAGAAGGGGAAUUGUAGUGAAUCACCCUUCUAUCCAAUCAACUGACAACACAGCAAUGAUCCCACAUCAUCCCAGCCCGAGAAAAACUCAGGGUUGGUGCCGGUGCUGAGCAGCUACUGGCCAGGAGCUGGAUGUCAGAUCCCUGGGAGGAUAUGAGAGGAUGUUUCCAGAAACACCGAACUAAAAAGGAACGUCCAACCCUGAAUGUGGAGGACAUCCUCCUCUGGGCUGGGCUCCCAGACUGAGUAAGAAGAAAAUAAGUUGAGCUCGCCCCCCCCCCCCCCAGCGCUGUAGAUACAGUGUGACCAGUUACCAGCCAACCCCCUGUUGCGGUGCCUUUUUCUUUUUCUUUUUUUUUCUUCCCUACCACUAUGAACUGUUCACUCUUAAGCUGAGAGCUAAAAUAAACUCUUCCUUUUGUCCAGC
rnacentral:lncRNA from 1 species